UACAUUUAUGCUACAGCAAUACAUAGAUUUUUUAAUGUAAACACAGAGUACACCAAGUUUAAGUGAGAGAGUACUUUUCAGAAAUUGUGCUCAUUUCUUAAAAAUAUUAAUCUAUAUUUUGAUGAACUGGGCACUAUAUAUCAUUUUUAAGGUACUUUUCUGUAACCACACCACAUAUGGCUUAAUUGGGAAUGGAACCACACUAUCUUGCAUCAGACAGAGUACCCCUUCUCUACAUGGUUUUGUAAUAAAGGGUAGACAUUUAAUAUCUUAUUUGUGUCUUUGCAUACUAACUAAUUUGUGAACUCAUGGGUGUAUUGAUUUUUUUAUAUCUCUAUAUCUGUCAACACAUGUAGUGUAGGGUUCUAGUCUUUAAAUCCCAAGUUUACCUAAGGGCCUUGGUAAGUCUUUCCCAAAAGAAGAUUGCUGUACACCCGCCAAGUGUCUUCCCCAGGAGGGACAUUCCUUCUUUGGACCCAAACCCCUUUGUUUCCCUCUCCUGAAUUCCCUUUUCCAGAAGCUCAGAAUGUUUGUUGAGUAUGAGUGUAUCAGUGUUCUAUAUGCCCUAAACAUCACUGUAAUAUCUAUAGAAACAGCAGAUAAUGUCACAUAAAAAGUCAUCAUGAAGUCCACCCAUAGUCACACCCUAUAGACCACCUUUGGCCAUUUGAAAUGUUAAUUGGUUCAAUUGUGAACAUAGCCACUAUGGGUUGAGUUCCUUGGGAUUUCAUGAACAUGUGUUCCCAACGCAUGCUUACACAUGUACUGAGACCCUGUGGUACUACCUGACUGAAAUGUUCCUAAUGUCAAAGGGAAACCAGUGACAAGGCAGAAUUUCUAUAUGAGAAACUACAAAUGUUAUGGACAGGAAUGACUGAAGCAAACAUAAUUUGCUUCACUGAUCCCUGAAAAAAAGAAAUAUGGGCAUGACAUACUGCUUAUGAUCUAUUAAGGAAUAGAAAUGUUUACUUGGAAAUGCUUGAAUGGUACUAAACAGGCUGCUAUGUAGGGUGGAUUUUGUUCAAGCUACAGAUGUUGUUUAAUUCCCAACACCUUAUCUGUGUGAAGUGAAGAAAGAAGGAUCCUUAAUGUUUUGUUUUAUUAUAAGAAAAUAUUUUAACAGCUUUGUUUUAAUGAAAGGAAUGGUUGUCUAAAACAAAAGGUAAAAAUGAAAUAAGAGAGUACUCAGAGCAUUAUUAAUCAUUGUUAAUUUAAUUAAUUUUUAAGAUAAAAUUAAUGUUAGCACCUUAUGUUGGUUGUGAGUACCGAUUUCUGUUAUGCACCUCAAAUGAAACCAGUUGAUUCCCAUUCUGGCUUCCUGCAAACCUCCUGCUCCUUUGGAGUUAAUGGAGACCCUAUUUUUUAUGAUUUUAAAUAAAGCUUCAUCCAAGUGUA